CACAAAUCUUCUCAACUGAUGACGUGUGCAUUGCUCAAAAAUCCACUUGUUUUCAGUUUCACAAUAAAACCGGCUAAAGGUAUUCCUCUAUAGACCGAGGGUAUUUUUUUGUGGAUUGUGUCUUGAAACAUAAAGGAAAAUGGAGACAUUGUACCAUCAAACAAAUAAGCAGAUACAGGAGGUGCAGUCGUUCAUGGGACGCCUGGAGAACACAGAUCGUCAGUCUGUCCACUUGUUGGAGAACGAGCUGCAGGCCAGAAUAGACCAGAUCUUCAGCCAUUUGGAACGUCUGGAAAUCCUGGCUAGCAAAGAACCGCCAAACUGCCGUCAGAACGCCAAACUGCGGGUAGACCAGCUGAAGUAUGAUGUUCAGCACCUCCAGACGGCCCUGAGGAACUUCCAGCACCGCCGCUACUCACGAGAGAGCCAGGACCGAGAGAGGGAGGAACUCAUGAGUCGUACCUUCACCACCAACGAUGCAGACACCUCCAUCCCCAUAGACGAGACGUUGCAGUUAAACUCCAACCUGAACAACGCACACAGAGGCAUGGACGACCUCCUGGGCAGCGGCAGCAGCAUCCUCACCGGACUCAGGGACCAGAGGGGCACGCUCAAGCAGCUGGCUAAGUACAUAUUUCCAGGGAGGAGAAGAGAUGGUGUUCCUGGUGGAGGUUGCUGUAGGCCUCCUGUUAUCAGGGCGUCUGGUGAUCAGAUGGGCUGGCCGUGAGAAACAGCUGAGGGACAGACCGGGAGGACAGAACGGCUGGGUGUGGUUCCUCAGACAGCCUCUCCCUAAUCAGUUGAAUAGAGCUUCGUCAUGACCAGGCUAAAAGCAGGGGAGCCAUAAGAAGAUGCUGGAUGUGGCCAACAUGCUGGGUCUGUCCAACACGGUGAUGAGGCUGAUCGAGAAGAGGGCCACCCAGGAUAAGUUCAUCAUGAUUGGAGGGAUGCUGCUCACCUGUGUGGUCAUGUUCCUGGUGGUCAAGUACCUGGGCUGACCAUGACCGCAACUGCAACCACAGUUUUGCGUUGGUCUCGGACAUUUUUGCACAAUAAGCCCAUAAGAUACGUGAACGGUGAUAAAUUAGGCUUGUCUUCUAAUUGGAGCGCUCCUUGAAAGUAUUGUUUUCCGAUCGGAAGGUGAGGAAUUAUCCGUCUUUUAAUUUCCAUGGGUUUUGUCACCCACUUCUAUUUCAACCAAUCUUUGUUUGCACCAGUAAAAUGGGUGUUAAGCAAGACAUAUACACUGAGUGUACAACACAUUAAGGAUGCCUUCCUAAUGUUGAGUUGCACCUUUUGCCCUCAGAACAGCCUCAAUCCAUCUGGGCAUGGACUCUACAAGGUAUUGAAGGCAGUCCACAGGGAUGCUGGCCCAUGUUGAUUCCAAUGCUUCCCACAGUUGUGUCAAGUUGGCUGGAUGUCCUUUGGGCGGUGGACCAUUAGUGACACACACGGGAAGCUGAUGAGCGUAAAAAACAGCAUUGCAGUUCUUGACACAAACCGGUGCGCCUGGCACCUACUACCAUAUCCUGUUCAAAGGAACUGUCUUGCCCAAUCACCCUCUGAAUGGCACACACACACAAUCCAUGUCUCAAGGCUUACAUAUUUAAAAAAAAAAAACAUAUCCUCCAUUUAUACUGAUUGAAGUGGAUUUAACAAGUGACAUCAAUAAGGGAUCAUAGCUAUCACCUAGUCAGCCUGUUAUGGAAAGAGCAGGUGUCCUUAAUGUUUUGUACACUCGUGUCUAUACUUUAAUUGUACUUCAAACUGAACAACGUGGAACCUUGCAAUCAUCAUUCCAGCUCGCUGACACCUGCCACUCAUCUCGGCGGUCAUCCACCUGACAGCCUGUGUGUGAAGCUGUAGGUGGGUGAGAAAGAGGACAUUUCAUUGACUGGGUUACCUUUUUUCAAACCAAUUCUCCUUCAAGGUCCACUUGCUUGCCUUAGUCUCCAUAUAGUGAGUUCUCCAUUGCCUUGUGGAUGGUAUUCAUUGUGGUUUCAUCUUCUAUUUGAAGCAUUAUUUUACGGUUUGCUGCUAUUUUCCCCCGAAUGAGGAUGAUUCUGGAAAUGGACAGAAAUGGAUGAAAAGCUGAUGUCGUACCUUACCUCAUCACACAUCCUAAUGACACUGCCUGGAGAAUACUUAUGUCACAUUAACCAAUACAUGUAGCCCAGGGAGGAAGAGGGCAGUUAACAGGGACCUGUGCACAAGCUACAGAACGAUAGUAAGAACAAAAACACAAAAGUGAUGAAAUAUUCUGUCAUGUUUUGUGAAACUAUCUGAACAAGGUGUAUUGUUGUCAUUUCUCUGGACGUUUGCUUGGCCCCAGUCUCACUAUGUUAGUGCAACCAAGGUUCAAACUGUAAUUCUCUGAAGAUCAAAAAUUAAACAUUUUAAAAACU